GACGUAGGGCGCGAGCGUUGUCCGGAUUUAUUGGGCGUAAAGAGCUCGUAGGCGGCUUGUUGCGUCGACUGUGAAAGCCCGUGGCUUAACCGCGUGGUCUGCAGUCGAUACGGGCAGGCUAGAGUUCGGUAGGGGAGACUGGAAUUCCUGGUGUAGCGGUGAAAUGCGCAGAUAUCAGGAGGAACACCGGUGGCGAAGGCGGGUCACUGGACCGGAACUGACGCUGAGGCGCGAAAGCGUGGGGAGCAAACGGG
rnacentral:rRNA from 1 species